ACAAAUAUGCCAUAUCAUUUUUUAUGGUAUUCUCAAAUGCAGCAAAGUUGUUUUGCCUAUAUGUGCUUUUAGGUUUACAGUUAAAUGGUUAUGCUUACUUUUAAUACCAGUGGGCAUAAUACGAGGCCAUGAAAUAGAAAGCAGGUAAUGAUUAACUUUCAACUCCUUCAGUAACUGAAUAUCAUCCUGCAAAAAGAAAAUCCAAUUAAAAUAUUACUCACUAAUCCCAAUAGACUAAUUCUUCAGAUUAUUAAUCUACAAAUUAAAGCAAUUUUAACGAAAGACUUUGAGCUGAGGAAAUGUGAAAGAAGAGAGGAUUGCACAAAAACAAUGUGCUUUGCCAGUUAUUUUCUGUUUCCUUUGGAAAAAUGAUUAUUUGCAGAAGCUGGUGGGGUAUGAGUUUAUUCAAGUACAAAGAAGUCCUAAGCCUGUGUAUUUUACCUCAGUCUACUUGCCAUGGAAAUUGUGAAUGUAAUGUUAAAUUCAGAAUUCAUUGACUUCACUGUGGAAUCAAGCGUGGAAAGAAAAUGUGUUGUGAAGGAACAAGUUUUCUUACAAAGUGUGCCUAGCAUCAUCUUAAAAUAUUUUUAACUGACCGUCCCUUUCAAACUAAAUACAUAAAAUGGGAGGGUUGUGGAUAAGAGCAACCAAGCUUGGUUCAUAUACCUCUGCCCAGGUCAGAAACUAUGUCCAUGAGAUCUAGCUGCAGGCUAAGGUGGGGAUGUCUGGGGGUGUUAAUUUCUUUGUUUGUGUAAUUGCUAAGAAGGAGUCAAUGUUCAGCCUUGGGCCUCUACCCCUGUCCCCUCCUUUUGCAUACAUAACUUACUGUUCCUACAUUUUUUUCAUGUACAAAUAGCUAUUUGUACAUGCAGUGAGAUAGUUGGGUAUCCAACUGCUUGAUUUGCAUGUGCACAUAUGGAAUAUGAGGGCACCUAUUUAUGGAUACAGCCUGGGGUAUGUCUGCAAAAUUAGACUGAAGAAUUUGGCCCCAAACAUAUUAACUCUUUGCUAGAACAAAUUCAUGCUGGAACUCUUGAAUAUAAGGAUUUUAUACAGGGUCAUCUGCAAAUAAAUUACCCAUGCUGCUAGAUUCCCAGUUUUGUGUACAAAGUUCUGUUAAUUUGGAAUUUAUCUAAAUUUUCUAGCAUUGUCAUAUUCUGAAACCCUAACACUUGACACUUGGAUCUGCUAGACAGAACUUUUCGGUCUCUCUGUAAUACCAGUAAACUCUUCAAUUCAAAUCUGCCAUUUUAUUUACAUGAUGCAAGAACGGUUGGGAAACUUGCAUAUAGUGUUCUAGUUCCAACGGUAGAAAAAUACCAUAGUGGUUCAACAUACCUGUUUUCCUGCCUGCUGGUAUAGGAAUAUAAUAUAAAGAUUUCAAAUAUAAGAUUGUAGAAACUGACUGAACUUUGUUCCAGGUUAGACUCUAGUAUAUCCUGACCACAAAUAAUUAAAUUACUACUUUCCCCUUAUUUUCUAGCAUUUUGGUUUUCCUUACUAAGAAAAGUAAGUUACUAGCUGCAGGGCAGCUGCGUAAAGACCAUGCAGCCAAGUUCAGAGCAGACACACCAACAUUUCUAUGCUGUCUCAAAGCAGAACCAGCUCCACAGUGAAAACCAGCAACCUAUUGGACUCUGAUUCUUCUAACCAUGCAUGUGCUCAGAUAUGCUACCUGGGCAUAUCUCUCAAUGAUAUAAAUGGGCCUGCAACUUCUUUUUUAGGCAUGAAUUUGGAGGCAGAACAGAUUUUUUUGUUAGGUUCUUUAAAAAUCAGGACUGAAUACUAGAGCAUUACAUAAUAUAAUGUGCAUUACAUACAAAGACGGGUGUGGAAGCUCAAAUGUUAAAGAGGAAUUGUUGAAUAGUAUAAAAUAGCACUUAGGGUAUUGUCAUUUUCCACACAGUUAUAAAUGGGAGUAGUUAUAUUACUUAGUGUAAAUAUUACAAUAGUAUAAUUUUAGGGAGGGGUUUUAGAUGCAAUAUUUCUACUUAGCAAGAGAGUGAAAGCAUGGUUCAAUGGUUAGAGCAUGAGCUUGGUGCUCCGGAGACCCGGGUACAGACAUCCUAGGCCCCUAAAACUUGUGAUGGUUUUGAAAAUCCCACUUGGUGCCUAAAUACCUUUAAAAAUCUGGCCCUUGUGCUCUCUCUGGGCACUACCCUAACUAACAAGGUGAAAAUUAAUAUAUUAAAGAUUGUGAGAGGCUCAGAGACUAUGGUAACUGGGACUAUAUAAUUGAUUAAAAUACAGAGAUAAACCAGUUCCUUCUCCUUUAUGACACAGGAGUUAAUCCAGUCCUAGUUUGGAAAUAUCCCAAGAGCUAUGUGGGGUUGUGAGGAAAGAGGUCUAUCUGGAUGUUUAUAUUGCUCUCAUCCCUGGUAUCUGAGGAGUAGACUGAGAUGGGAAAUUGGCCAGCUAAUUUACAUGAGUUCCUCGCCCAGUAAACAGCUUCAAGACUCCCAGAGAAACAGUGGACCUGAUCCUGCAAACCUCUAUUGAAUGAGGAAAAUCGAGAUCUCAAAAUCUCUUCUGAAUUUUCCCAUUUUAAAAAAGAAGGAGCGAGACAAACAACAUUGGUGUGGAUAAGAAAAUGCACUUAUUAUGAUAAAACAGAUCAGAGUUGAGAUUAAUAAAUCUCAGAAAAGCAUGAAGAGAGCGCUCAUCUCUCCAUUGAAGAUGUUAUCAGUGAGAAGUAGCUUGAGACAGGAGAUGUCGACCAGAAGGACAUAACGGGGGUGCCAAUAAAGGAUCAUGAAAGAUCCAGGAUUUGCUAGAAAGCUCGACUUACCCACCAAGAAGGGACAGCAUGAGCAGUACAAACUUCCCCACUGCUUCCUAGUCCAUGUGCCUCAGCCCUGACCCGGAGGAACCACUCCUGGAGGUGAGAGAAUCGUUCAUUUUCAAGGCUGUUUGAGCCGGUUGGAUCACGCCUGACUGUGGAGCGACCUCACUCUGAGCAAGCUGGUGCAUGGAAAUGGGAGUGAUGCAAGCCAUUUUAAUACUGUCAAGUAUUUGGCAACUCCAAGUGAAGAGCAUUAGCAAAAUGAUGUAGCAAUCUUCUGGAAUUCUUUCUGGUCCAUACUCAGUGCUCUUAGCAGCCACUCCUAGUCUUUGCUAAAUGUUAUUCUCUGUGACUUGUGAAUAUUGCUUACCAAUAUGUGUAUCCUCUGCUGUUAGGGCUAUAUCGUGGCCUUUAAAGCCAGUGCCGUGUUAGAGGCCUGCAGACGUGCCUACAGAAAGAACAGUGGGAAGCAGAAUGUGAGGCUUAUAUGGGGAUGGCAACUACUACACUUUUUACGAGCACAGUGUGUGCUUCCCCCAACAGUGCACUUGAUGGAUGGCCAGUGAGGAAAGUAGUGGGGCUACGGAUGUGACUCCGCCCUCUGUGGGGAGCUCUGGUAACUCUGAUUGUACUAACACUACUCAAGUUGCAGGAUUCUGCUACACACUGAGUAGUUGUGCAAGUGGAAAAGGACUUUCUGCACCUCUUCUCUCCUCUGCCUGUCUACACAAAGGGAUCCGGGAGCAGAUUCUAGGGAGAUGUCUGUUCAUUUGUGAUCAGUAUUAUUUACAUACAAAUCAAAACCACAAAAAUAAUAAGCAUGCUAGUGGGAGCUCAAAGGCUGCUCUGAUAUCAUAGAAUCAUAGAAGAUUAGGGUUGGAAGAGACCUCAGGAGGUCAUCUAGUCCAACCCCCUGCUGAAAGCAGGACCAACCCCAACUAAAUCAUCCCAGCCAGGGCUUUGUCAAGCCAGGCCUUAAAAACCUCUAAGGAUGGAGAUUCCACCACCUCCCUAGGUAUCCUGCCCAAGUUUAUUUGUUUACACUACAUGUUACUG